rnacentral:rRNA from 1 species
GAUGAACGCUAGCGGCAGGCCUAAUACAUGCAAGUCGAACGGGUGGUCGCAAGACCACUAGUGGCGCACGGGUGCGUAACGCGUAACCAACCUGCCCCGAUCUGGGGGAUAGCCCGCCGAAAGGCGGAUUAAUACCGCAUAUACCCGCAGCCUGGCAUCAGGCAACGGGGAAAGAUUUAUUGGAUCGGGAUGGGGUUGCGUGACAUUAGCUAGUUGGCGGGGUAAGGGCCCACCAAGGCGACGAUGUCUAGGGGACCUGAGAGGGUGAUCCCCCACACUGGCACUGAGAUACGGGCCAGACUCCUACGAGAGGCAGCAGUAGGGAGUAUUGGGCAAUGGGCGAGAGCCUGACCCAGCCAUGCAGCGUGCCGGAUGAAGGCCUUCUGGGUUGUAAACGGCUUUUCUCAGGGAAGAAAAAGACCUUGCGAGGUACACUGACGGUACCUGAGGAAUAAGCACCGGCUAACUCCGUG